ensembl:lincRNA C230035I16Rik RIKEN cDNA C230035I16 gene
CCCGGGGUUACUUGCGCCCUCUAUAAAUGAAAGACGGUACCGCCAGUUCUGGGAAUCGCACAGGGGUGCGUACAAAUGGACCAGGACGCGGAGAGCACGGAAACAACGGUGCUGGGACCUUGUGCACAGAAUCCAGAUGCCAGAUGGGAAUUAAACAUUCGGCCGAGAAAAGCAAUCUAGUUCCCUGGGCUCGACUUUGACUCACUCCUUGGUCUGCACCAAUCCUCACAUCCCUCAGGUCCUCUAACUUUUACGACAGUAUCCAGAAAUCGAUUCUUUGGUCUCUACGGCUCCAGAAGGCUCGCUCAUCAAGAAACGUUCCAUUACCUUCGAUUAGAAGUGGAUACAUAUAUGAUUUUGGCCUAAAAAAAAUAUUUGCAAAAAGGGAGAAUGCAAACUUGUCCUUUUCCUUUUGGAUUUACGGAGUGCCAGUAUCAGAGUCUAUUGAGGAGGAAUCUCUGAAAAUGACAGCUGAUGGGUGUAGAGACCCACGCCCGGAAUCUCAGCAACUGAAGUGGUUGAAGCAGGAGCAUCUGGGCAGAGCUUGAACCAGGAAGCUGAGCGGCACCAUAGGUGUUGCUAACCAAGCAUAGCAGCAUAAUAAAAAUGGAGUGAUUAAAUGUA